rnacentral:rRNA from 1 species
GACGAACGCUGGCGGCGUGCCUAAUACAUGCAAGUAGAACGCUGAAGCUUGGUGCUUGCACCGAGCGGCUGAGUUGCGAACGGGUGAGUAACGCGUAGGUAACCUGCCUGGUAGCGGGGGAUAACUAUUGGAAACGAUAGCUAAUACCGCAUAAGAGUAGAUGUUGCAUGACAUUUGCUUAAAAGGUGCAAUUGCAUCACUACCAGAUGGACCCGCGUUGUAUUAGCUAGUUGGUGAGGUAACGGCUCACCAAGGCAACGAUACAUAGCCGACCUGAGAGGGUGAUCGGCCACACUGGGACUGAGACACGGCCCAGACUCCUACGGGAGGCAGCAGUAGGGAAUCUUCGGCAAUGGACGGAAGUCUGACCGAGCAACGCCGCGUGAGUGAAGAAGGUUUUCGGAUCGUAAAGCUCUGUUGUAAGAGAAGAACGAGUGUGAGAGUGGAAAGUUCACACUGUGACGGUAUCUUACCAGAAAGGGACGGCUAACUACGUG